GCUAGCAAAUGAAGUAGAUGAAGACAUCAAUUGCUCAAUCCUUUUCUUCUUCAAGAUCUCUUGGCAUUUUAAACGUCUUAGUUCGCUGUGCGUCACAAUCUUGCGCGUCAUACUCAAAAAGUAAGCUUAUUAACCUUAUUUUCUUUCAGCAAACAAUGAUUAAUCGGAUUUCAGAGAGAGGCUUAUCAUUCAUGAUUUUUAAUUCUCUUAAUAAAUUUAUAUUCUUUUAAUAAA